rnacentral:rRNA from 1 species
ACGAAGGGGGCUAGCGUUGUUCGGAUUUACUGGGCGUAAAGCGCGUGUAGGCGGGUCGUUAAGUUGGGGGUGAAAUCCCGAGGCUCAACCUCGGAACUGCCUUCAAAACUGGCGACCUGGACCCAAGUAGAGGCAAGUGGAAUUGCGAGUGUAGAGGUGAAAUUCGUAGAUAUUCGCAGGAACACCAGUGGCGAAGGCGACUUGCUGGACUUGUGGUGACGCUGAGACGCGAAAGCGUGGGGAGCAAACAGG